UACGGGGGGGGCAAGCGUUGUUCGGAAUUACUGGGCGUAAAGGGCUCGUAGGCGGCCAACUAAGUCAGACGUGAAAUCCCUCGGCUUAACCGGGGAACUGCGUCUGAUACUGGAUGGCUAGAGUCCGGGAGAGGAGAGUGGAAUUCCUGGUGUAGCGGUGAAAUGCGCAGAUAUCAGGAAGAACACCCGUGGCGAAAGCGGCUCUCUGGAACGGUACUGACGCUGAGACGCGAAAGCGUGGGGAGCGAACAGG
rnacentral:rRNA from 1 species